UACGUAGGGCGCAAGCGUUGUCCGGAAUUAUUGGGCGUAAAGAGCUCGUAGGCGGCUUGUCACGUCGGGUGUGAAAGCCCGGGGCUUAACCCCGGGUCUGCAUUCGAUACGGGCUAGCUAGAGUGUGGUAGGGGAGAUCGGAAUUCCUGGUGUAGCGGUGAAAUGCGCAGAUAUCAGGAGGAACACCGGUGGCGAAGGCGGAUCUCUGGGCCAUUACUGACGCUGAGGCGCGAAAGCCAGGGGAGCGAACGGG
rnacentral:rRNA from 1 species